rnacentral:rRNA from 1 species
UACGGAGGUGGCAAGCGUUGCUCGGAAUCACUGGGCGUAAAGGGCGCGUAGGCGGGGAGGUAAGUCGGGUGUGAAAUCCCUCGGCCCAACCGAGGAACUGCGCCCGAAACUGCCGUGCUUGAGUGCCGGAGAGGGUGGCGGAAUUCCCCAAGUAGAGGUGAAAUUCGUAGAUAUGGGGAGGAACACCGGUGGCGAAGGCGGCCACCUGGACGGUAACUGACGCUGAGACGCGAAAGCGUGGGGAGCAAACAGG